rnacentral:rRNA from 1 species
GACAGAGGUCCCGAGCGUUAGGCGGAAUCACUGGGCUUAAAGCGUGUGUAGGCGGAUCGUUAAGUGCCUUGUGAAAUCCCGUGGCUUAACCAUGGAACUGCUUGGCAUACUGGCGGUCUUGAGCCACUUAGGGGCAACCGGAACAAAUGGUGGAGCGGUGAAAUGCGUAGAUAUCAUUUGGAACGCCAAUGGUGAAAACAGGUUGCUGGGAGUGUGCUGACGCUGAGACACGAAAGCCAGGGGAGCGAACGGG